UACAGAGGUCUCAACCGUUGUUCGGAUUCAUUGGGCGUAAAGGGUGCGUAGGCGGUCGGGUAAGUCGGAUGUGAAAUCCCAGGGCUCAACCCUGGAACUGCAUUCUAUACUGCCUGGCUAGGGUACUGGAGAGGAGACUGGAAUUUACGGUGUAGCAGUGAAAUGCGUAGAUAUCGUAAGGAAGACCAGUGGCGAAGGCGGGUCUCUGGACAGUUCCUGACGCUGAGGCACGAAGGUCAGGGGAGCAAACGGG
rnacentral:rRNA from 1 species